rnacentral:rRNA from 1 species
GAUGAACGCUGGCGGCGUGCCUAAUACAUGCAAGUCGAGCGAACGGACGAGAAGCUUGCUUCUCUGAUGUUAGCGGCGGACGGGUGAGUAACACGUGGAUAACCUACCUAUAAGACUGGGAUAACUUCGGGAAACCGGAGCUAAUACCGGAUAAUAUUUUGAACCGCAUGGUUCAAAAGUGAAAGACGGUCUUGCUGUCACUUAUAGAUGGAUCCGCGCUGCAUUAGCUAGUUGGUAAGGUAACGGCUUACCAAGGCAACGAUGCAUAGCCGACCUGGGAGGGUGACCGGCCCCCCGGGCACUGAGACACGCUCCAGACUCCUACGGGAGGCAGCAGUAGGGAAUCUUCCGCAAUGGGCGAAAGCCUGACGGAGCACCGCCGCGUGAGUGAUGAAGGUCUUCGGAUCGUAAAACUCUGUUAUUAGGGAAGAACAUAUGUGUAAGUAACUGUGCACAUCUUGACGGUACCUAAGCAGAAAGCCACGGCUAACUACGUG